GACGAACGCUGGCGGCGUGCUUAACACAUGCAAGUCGAACGGAAGGGCCCUGCUUUUGUGGGGUGCUCGAGUGGCGAACGGGUGAGUAACACGUGAGUAACCUGCCCUUGACUUUGGGAUAACUUCAGGAAACUGGGGCUAAUACCGGAUAGGAGCUCCUGCUGCAUGGUGGGGGUUGGAAAGUUUCGGCGGUUGGGGAUGGACUCGCGGCUUAUCAGCUUGUUGGUGGGGUAGUGGCUUACCAAGGCUUUGACGGGUAGCCGGCCUGAGAGGGUGACCGGCCACAUUGGGACUGGGAUACGGCCCAGACGCCUACGGGAGGCAGCAGUGGGGAAUAUUGCACAAUGGGCGGAAGCCUGAUGCAGCAACGCCGCGUGCGGGAUGACGGCCUUCGGGUUGUAAACCGCUUUCGCCUGUGACGAAGCGUGAGUGACGGUAAUGGGUAAAGAAGCACCGGCUAACUACGU
rnacentral:rRNA from 1 species